GCGGAGACAUUACCGAGUGAGGGCCCUCUGGGUCCAACCUCCCACCCGUGUUUAUUUUACCUUGUUGCUUCGGCGGGCCCGCCUUAACUGGCCGCCGGGGGGCUUACGCCCCCGGGCCCGCGCCCGCCGAAGACACCCUCGAACUCUGUCUGAAGAUUGUAGUCUGAGUGAAAAUAUAAAUUAUUUAAAACUUUCAACAACGGAUCUCUUGGUUCCGGCAUCGAUGAAGAACGCAGCGAAAUGCGAUACGUAAUGUGAAUUGCAAAUUCAGUGAAUCAUCGAGUCUUUGAACGCACAUUGCGCCCCCUGGUAUUCCGGGGGGCAUGCCUGUCCGAGCGUCAUUGCUGCCCUCAAGCACGGCUUGUGUGUUGGGCCCCGUCCUCCGAUCCCGGGGGACGGGCCCGAAAGGCAGCGGCGGCACCGCGUCCGGUCCUCGAGCGUAUGGGGCUUUGUCACCCGCUCUGUAGGCCCGGCCGGCGCUUGCCGAUCAACCCAAAUUUUUAUCCAGGUUGACCUCGGAUCAGGUAGGGAUACCCGCUGAACUUAAGCAUAUCAAUAA
rnacentral:rRNA from 1 species